UCCGUUAUGGUGUAGUGGCUAACAUUAUCGCCUCUCAUACGCAGUCAGGAGAUAAAGCGCGAUAGCCCAGGGUUCGAUUCCCUGUAACGGAA